rnacentral:rRNA from 1 species
GACGAACCGUGCGAACGUUAUUCGGAAUCACUGGGCUUAAAGCGCGUGUAGGCGGGCCGGCACGUCGGUCGCUGAAAUCCCCCGGCUCAACCGGGGAAGUGGCACCGAUACGACCGGCCUGGAGGGGGGUAGGGGGCGCUGGAACUCACGGUGGAGCGGUGAAAUGCGUUGAGAUCGUGAGGAACGCCCGCGGCGAGGGCGAGCGCCUGGACCCUUUCUGACGCUGAGACGCGAAAGCCAGGGGAGCGAACGGG